rnacentral:lncRNA from 1 species
GCGAUUGAGGGUAGAAUCGUGAGAUGAGGAGCGAGAAAGGGACGCAUUUGAGUGAGCGUGAGAGGAUGGAGAGCGCGAUUGAGAGAGUUGAGAUAGAGCGAUGAAGAGGGGCGUGAACGAUUGGGAGAGAACGAGGACAAUGAAGUAUCUGUUACCGUUGUUUCCAAUUUCUUUCUUUUAUUUAUUUUUAAAUAGAAUAAACAUUGAAACCAUUAAAAGUUACAUUUAAACUUCCUAGGUUUUAUUUAAUAAUGUUUUCAUUUAGUAGUGUAUAUUAAUAUAUUAAUGUUUAUCUCAAUCCAUUAGCCUCUGGAACCCAACAGCCAGGCGGCUGGGUUUAAUUUCUUUUUUUUUUCUUGGUAGUCCAACAGACUAUUUUAUCUUAGUUUUUAUUUUUAAUUUUAAUUUUAAUCUAUUUUGGUUUUCUUAUCCGAAUUAGCAUUAAGAUAGCAAAUAAUCAUGAAUGGCCUAGUGGGGAGAGAGUACUUUCAUUGCCUUUAGUGGAGUGGGUUCAAUACUC